AUAAUCAUCCAAGAGCUUUGUAAUUUCCACGGUGAGCACCCUAUCCCAUCUCAUCCAGCCAACCAUUGUAAUGGCUUCAAUGGUACUUGGUAAGGUGUUGAGCGAGUCAUAGUAAUGAAGUUUUAUGCUGGCAAUUCUCUUGACUAUAAGCUACGCAACCUAAAUACAUAGGCUUAUGCAAAAAGCUCAUGGUUACAAGCACUUUCUUAUAUGGCUUAUACAAAAUUACAUAGGCUUACCAAUUGAGGAGAGCAUCAGGUCUGUCUCGUUCCCCAACUUCAGGUAUAUUGAUUUCAACUUUCAACUUCCAAGUUCCAACAUCGUUGCUUUUACUUGUAGAAGUGUUCCUACCUUGUAUUAUGGUGGACUGGGAAUAAGGGAUAAGGUUUAAGUUAGCAAUCGGGGUUCAACUGAAUUAACAAUCAGGUUAGAUCUCAAAAUAGGUUUGGAUUUAGGCAUUUAUGCCAUAAUACAGCAAAACACUUAUAAUUUCAUUCAUCAAGUAUUUACUAAAAAUGAAGAUUACAUAAAUAUUUAUAAAGAUUGCUAGAUACUUCUAAACCAACUACAACCAGGGUCAACAAUAAGAAACUAACUUGAAACCCCUAGUAAGCAACCAACUUGGACCCCAGAAUGAGAAAACCUAAAUUCCUUGAAUAAUGUUAAAAUAAAAUAAAAUAAACAAUGCAAAACUAAAUUACACAAGAACAAGUAAUGAAUGAGGAUCCUUGAUGACUGCAUCAACAGUUUUCCCAUGGUUCCACUUUAAACUCUCCAUACUGCAUCCAUAGGUUUCCCACGGUUCCACUUUUAAACUCUCCAUAUACUUUUCUGGUGACCGAUUUACUUACCAACAGACUGGUCUUGUCUCUCUUUAACAUUAACACCAGUAGAGGUAGGGUGGCGCUUGAUCUUUCGCAAAGCUCUUUCUGUGUUGUACACUUCAACCUACAUUGAUUUAUGAUGAAACUCAAUUGCGGAGCAAAUAAUACAAGCUUUAAUAGGUAAAGUACUAUUUGUAACAAGCAAUUUGACAGAUGAAAUGAAGGAUAAUGGAAAUUUUACAUAAAGAAAUGAAAUAAGACAUACUCGCCAGUUUCUAAAGUUGUUUCCCUAAGCAAAUGAUACCAUAAAAUGUCAUAUAGCUGCAUGAUAACAACUAGAAUUUUAGGGAAGAAGUGGAAGAACUUUGUUCUAGGUUGAAUAUCAAUACAAAGCUUCAUUCUAGGGAAGAAGUAGAAUUUGGCUAACCAUAUAAUAUAGGACUGCUUUUCUUUUCCUGUUUCUGAAUUAGUUAGGUUACAACACAAUUUUUUUUUCUGUUUAGUAGUUGGAGACAAGCAGCAAAGUAGUCAGUGUCAUGAGUCUGAGAGAACUAGUAUACUGGAUUUUUUUGUGCUUCAGUUAUCUGUUUUAACAACCAAAUCUACCAAGAAUUUCAAAAUCAAAGAGCUUAUAAUUUAUACAAAGUUCUCCACUUUCAAAGGUUAUCCUUUGUCAUUUAGUUUCAUAUUACAUCACUGCAUGUUAUCAAAAUUUCAAAGUUUUCUUUCUCCCUUCACAUUUAGCACUUUAGUACAACCAAUUAUAUUUCAGACACCCAACUAUAGAUUUGUAAAGAAAUCUUUAUACCAUGACAAGAAAAUAAAUUAAGUAGCUAAGAAGAAGUCAGGUCCUUCAAGUUUAAGAAAACUAUUUUGAAGAUAAUAUUCUUACGGCUUCUUUAAUUUGCUUUGUUAUUCCCGCAGCCUUUGCCGUAGCAAGCUGCAAACAUUGCAUGAUAACUCUUUGAGGGACACCUUCUCCACCAGCCUUUUGAAUUGCACAAAUAUCACCAUUUGCGUUAACUGUUGUAGUCAUUCGUCCACCCAUAACAGCUUCCUCAUUGUGGGUUGGAUCUAUUACCUGAAUUUCAUCACAUUUAAAGAGACCACAACUUUGGCUGUGAACAAGAUGUGUUAAUCAAAUGUAGUUAGAAUAUCCUGAUGUCAAAAAUUAACUUACCAGAAUGCUAUCAUUACUAAAAAACCCAAAGGUUAUCGCAAUUGGAAGAUGAUGCACAAUCAAAGGAAGAGGCUCCCUUAUCUGUCAAAAGAGAAGAUAUUUUCAACUACCAUAAUUACACAUUCGAUGGAGUCAAAAUGAGAAGUGUGUUCAAUAUGAUGGGAGACAAGAGGAAUAGGAAUGGUAAGAAAGAAGUGGAAAAAGUGAUUAAAAGUGGUAUUCAAGUUUUCAAUAGUUCCAUAACAAGGUUAAGGAGAAAAAAUAAGAUGAUUGUACCAUAACAGAACCAUGAUUCUUAUUAAAAAUCAUAAGUUUAAGGAAAAUUCACAAUAUUAUGAGUAUUUCUUUGCAUUAGUUAUAUUCUCUCUCUUUGAUUUUAUUUCUUUUUCCCUCCACUUUUGUAGAUACUUGAAAACAGAUUGGAAGAAAAUGUUAAAAGACAAUAAUUCUCUUCUUUUUUUUUCUCUCCUGAUUUAAGUAACUAAACAAGAGAAACUUUAAUAUUCUCUCCAGCCAAUCACAAUGUAACAGUUGUAAUUCACACCGCCACAUCACACCCAACUACCCCCCCCCCCCCCCCCUCCCCCUCUCGGCAUCCAUACUCUUCUAAGGGAAAGGAAGUGCAAAACACAGGGAGGGAAGAAACCCCAGUAGCAAAGACAGUAGAUAUGUCAAUUGGCUUUUAAAGGGCCAUCCAAUUAAGUAGGUUGAUUGCAUUACAAGCCUGAACUACAGCAACAACCCUGAAAGAGACACAGAAGUAACAGAAAGACCAAAAUCUAUUAUCACUCAGCUUUUACACAACAUUAUAGCCGCUAUUUAAAAUUAGGAUAAGCAAGAGACUCCACAAGCCAAUUUCCCCCACGAGGUAAAAACAAGUCAAGUGAAUUCUAAGUAGAACGAACAUCAAACAUCACCAAUUGUUCAAAAUUAUCAAUUUCUGGUACCUCUGUUAAAACAAAAAGAAGAAGAAUAAAAAUACAAAACAAAAACAAAAAGGAAAGCAUAUCAUUCAUAUCUAUUUACUUUACAUGUAAUCAUGGCUGUUUGACUCAUUGCAUUAGGCAUACAGUUUAAUGUUGCGCGGUAAUCAUAGAAAAUUGUAGUCACAAGUUGAACCUUGAGUUGGAUGAGAAACUUUUUUUAUUAGUUAGAUAAGGAACUUAAAGACCUAAACAGCAUCAGUCAUGAAGCCUAGGUCAACAACCCACUAAUCAAUUGACUCCAAAACAUGAUUGAAUUGAUCCUUGCCAGUUUAUUCAGAUUUGAUGAACAUACUUCUUGUUGUUAAGUAGCAAAAUGUAAAGAAAGUAAAAUAAAGUUUCUUCUUGAUGAUGCUCAGGAUUCAUAUUCUUAAGCACAAUAUUCACCUAGUUGUAAGAGCAUUGAAUGUAAGUGUCAAAACUCACUAGAUGAUUCCCAUCUUAACAGUAGUGCUUUUAAAAGGUAAUAUUAAAAGCCAAAACAGUUAGGAAUCUGACCUCAGGUGGAUGUACUAUUACUUCCUGACCAUCUUCUCCUCCUAAUGAGCAUUCAGGCCUCCGGAAUGUCAGUAGAGCAGCCAAAGCAGCAAUAUUAGCAGCAUCAACAAGGUUUCUGUUUCCACAAAAAAUAUAUUAGUUCCAACUGAAAAUGAACGUCUAACAUUAGCAGUGAAAAAAGUUAUGGAAUGAUAUAAAGUAUAGGAAAAUAAAAGCAUAGAAAGAUUGCAGUAGUACCCUCCAUUAUCUAGAAUGUGGAGAUCAAUACGAAUAGCCCACACAAACUUGCCAGCUAGAACACACAGUGAUUCAGUAUCCACAGCCUUGCUUUCCCUGUAAGAUCACUCUAAACCUUCAAUUACCUUUAUUUCAAUAAGAACAGCACAGUGACAAACCAGAAAGUAAGUUCCACCACAUUCCCAAAAGCUUAUUAAAGCUCACUUUAACCAAGAAAAAUCUCAAUCAUUAGCAAAAUAGCAAUCAUGAAAGAAAAUGCACUUGAGAGCAAAGAAAGAAAAUACAUGUUCAUUAGGUGACAUCUAAUUUAAUAGAACAGUAACAUAUUACUGAAGAAUCAAGCUUAUAACAACAAAAGAAAAACUCACACACUAUAAGCCCUAUACAUUCGAGGAAAAAGGAAAGACAGCGGGUUGGAGGAGUAAAGCUGACAAACUUCAGCUUCAAUCAAAUCUUUCAAAAGAUAACAAAAGUACCUUAGACCACGAUCAAUUAUACGUCCCAACUCCACAGCCAAUUCUCCAGGAUGGCCUGGCUCAAAUGAAGGAUCAGCCAUUGGAGAAACCUCGGUGAAGAUCGAAAGUAUCCCUUCCUUAGGUCGGUCUCUAUAAGGCUGAACCAGUUGAGCAGUAACAAUGCCCAUAACACGAGUCUGGCCUAGCUGCACCUCUGAUGAGCCAUCCUCUCUGCAAAUUCACCAUAGCAAUUAAACAGUCGAUUUUACCAACAUAUCCACCAAGCAAGCUACUUAUAGUAACCUAAAAGAGGGAAUUAAAAAAUAUAUUAAUUUAUAAUUUAAUAUCAUCAGACAAUGCAAAACAAUUUUUGUUUCAACUAGAAGAACAGCAUCAAACGUGAUCCUCCAAUUCCUAAACCAGAAAUUGCACAAAGAACAGGGAUAUAAAGACAUCUCACCUAAAUAGGUACAAACAUUGGUUCGAACCAAGACAUCCAAUUAUUCACAUACACAUACAUUUUCUUACAUUCAUGCAAGCAUGCAUACACAUACAAAUACUAUUAAGGGAUGUUAACCCACAUCCAUUAAGUUUAGAAUUUGUUGUGGCCUCAUGUUCAGGCACAGCUUCUCCACCAAUUUGCCCAUUAGUUUUAGCUUAACAUGGUAUUAGAGGCUAGGUUAUUUGUCACCCUGUUUCAUACUCUAUUAUGUUAUUUGUUGCACGCAUUGUCCACAUCUUAGGCUCGUCUACUUCAAUUUUAAGUAUUAGCCUACACGUGAGGGGAGUGGUGUUAUCCAAUGGUAAUUAAGUUUAGAGUUAGUUGUGGUCUUAUGUUCGGGUUGAGCAAUCUCCACGGAAAUAGAUUUUAGGUUGAUUACACAAUACAAAAGUCAUAGACUGCAAGUGCAAACAACCCAAGCUUCGAAUUAAGCAAUUUUAAUACAACAGCGUUAGACAGAGUAAUUAUAAGCUGAAAAAGAAAGAAACCCAUUACUGCAAAUAGCCAAAUGCAUAUAAGUUGGUUUUUAUAUACGUACAUUGAAUAAUGCUAAACUUGCCUGCCAAACUUGACAACAAUCUUACGGUAUUCAUAGGGCUUUCGUCCAUCGAUUCGAAUUUCAGAAAGCAAAGCAGUUCUGAUGAAACUCUUGUCGUUCGCUGUCAACCGCCACGCAUUCGCCAAUCUACCUUCCAUUCUUUCUCAGUUCCACUGCAACAAUUGCUCCGAUGCAUUCUCUUAGCCG
rnacentral:lncRNA from 1 species